CCCGCACAAGCAGCGGAGCGUGUGGUUUAAUUCGAUGCAACGCGAAGAACCUUACCAGGGUUUGACAUGCUUAAAGUAGAAACUCGAAAGAGGGACGACCUGUAUCCAGUCAGGAAUUUGCACAGGUGCUGCAUGGCUGUCGUCAGCUCGUGCCGUGAGGUGUUAGGUUAAGUCCUGCAACGAGCGCAACCCUCGUCGCUAGUUACUUUUCUCUAGCGAUACUGCCCGUAUAACGUGGAGGAAGGUGGGGAUGACGUCAAGUCAGCACGGCCCUUACAUCCUGGGCUGCACACACGCUACAAUGGGUGAUACAACAGGUUGCAAUAGAGCGAUCUGGAGCCAAUCCCUAAAAUCAUCCUCAGUACGGAUUGCAGGCUGCAACUGCCUGCAUGAAGUUGGAGUUGCUAGUAAACGCAGGUCAGCACACUGCGUUGAAUACGUUCUCGGGCCUU
rnacentral:rRNA from 1 species